GGAGGAGACCCAUCCUCUAGCCCCUCCCACUCCUCUGUCCAUCAGAAACAAUCUGUCAGCUUGGGAGCCUGGGGACCUGCAUGUCUCUCACUCUGACCUUGGCCAGCAGCCGGCUCCCGUGACUCAUUUUCUUCAUCUGUACAAUGAGACCAUUGGACUGGAUGUUCCCUAAGACUCCUUCCAGCACAAUGAAUCAACAGUUUCUCCUCCACUCCCCCACCACCCCCCAGGUCCCCUACACUGCCCGCUCUGCCAUCUAGUGCUGCCGGAGGGGGUGUAUAUAAGGUUUAGUCGGUCCCUCCAGGAGAUCCCAGGUGCCCUCACCCCAGAGAUCUCUGCGGCUGGUCCCGCGGCCCCUCCAUACCUGGUGAUGCGCCGCGGUUCCAUGAAGCUGGGCGAGUCCCGGCGUCGCUUGCGGAUGGAAAUUUUCCAGGGGAAAAGACAAUGGGAAGAGAGUAGCAAGGAAAGUGUCCUUGCCUGAUCCUGGUAUUCUGAAAGACAAGAAUAGCUUCGUGAUCUACAGAGAACAGAGACCACAGUGACAGCACAGCCUGAGCCAGGGAGGGGAGGGCGGGCCUCAUGAGUCCCGCUGUGCCCAGGGAGAAAAGUGUUGUGACACAUGAAAGAGAGCAAGGAAGACAGACCACAGCUACUGAGGGACAAAUAUUUCAGGGACAAAUCUCUAGCAGAGCACCCACUAAUCUGCUAAUCUUGAAUCUCAAGAAUGCCAUUGAAUUCCCAAACACCAGCCUGCGCCUGGCAGCGUUGAAGUCACCCAGGGGAGGUGUUCCUCCUGUGACAGAACAAGCUGAGCCCUACAUAGCUGACCAAAGCGGGCCCAAAGAGUCCACUGCAGAGGAGCCAAGAACGUGUCAAGGUUGAACAUGGGACACGUGUUGGACUGGCCGCCAUGGGCAAGGUUCUGACCUGGGAAAAGACCGCCCGUCACAUGCUCUUCCUCACGCCAGCAGUUUCGCUAAUUAACUGGUUCUGUUUCCUAUUAGCCAGGAGCAUAAUGGCCAACUGACAGAUGAAUGAAUCCAGACAGAGGAGGAGGGCAGAUCCCAGGCAAAGGCUCUGCCCUGUCUGCUCUUUCACUCAGCCAGCGUGGCAGGUCUGCCAGGGCCCUGGAGGGGGGGUAGUGGCAGCAGGGAUGGUGAUGCAUCAGGCCUGGGGCCUCUCCUUUAGCUCCUCACAGUGCAGGGCAGAAAUAUGACACUGUGCAUAUUAUAAUGACUAUCAUGUUAUCAGGACGGUAAUUCGCAAAAUAAUAAAAGCUCUGGGAGUGACUCUGCCCGUUGAGACCCUUUCCCGAGUGAGAGGUGUUACGGACUCCAACGGGCAGAUAGAUGUCAGGUACUAUUCUAAGCACUUUACAUUUAUCUCACUUAAUCAUUUAAUGCUCAGACAAGCCUCUGAUGUGGGGACCACAAUUAAUGUUCCCGUCUUACAGAUAAAAUAAGGAGGCGCAGAGAUCACACUAUGUAUAAAAUUAGGUGCAAGGAAAAAAAGACGAAUUUGUUCACUGUGUGAGUAGUAGCUUAUGAAUUUUGUUUUCUAUAAACCGUCUCUCCCAAACGUGUUAUUAUAUUACAUAACUAUGAAAACAAUGAUUUUUACGAGUUGUCAUUGUUUAUCAGAGUGAAAUAAGGAAAAAGAACUGAUAGCAGCUACAAGAAGUAAAGAAAACGUCGUGCAUACUCCAAAAGGAGAAGGUGUUCCUUUUAUCCCAGGAAUAUGGGUUUUUAGAGGCAGCCUUGGAUGAUGGGGUGUUUUGAACCUGUGCAGGAGGGGCUGGGGUGUUUCAGGCUGAGGGCUCAGUAUGAGCAACGUCAUGGAAGUGAUAAGAUGUGGGGCAUAGCUGGGAACUGCCAGCAGGUCGUGGCUGCUGUGUGAUGCGGAGCGUGGGAAACCAGGCUAGGUCUCGCGUGUGCAGGCCGGGGAGCCUAGACUUGGUUCUAAGGAUGAUGGCGAACCACAGAAUGUUUCUGGGACAAAACAGGACUCCCCACAUUAAUCACUUCCAAGGACAAAAGUGUGUCCGCUCUGUGUCUCUGGGACCUCACCCCUCUCCACCACUUCUCUCCCCCAGAAUAGAGUGCUAGCUGCCCCACUGUUCUUCCUGCAGUGUCACCCCUCUGAUCCAUCAUCCAAAAGAGAAAGUCCCCAAACACCUCCCUGACCACAUCACACCUCUCAGAAUCUUCCACUGGCUCUUACCGUCUAUGGGAUCACGUCCCGAUACUGCAGUAGCGUGACAUCCUGAUAUCUAGUACGGAGAGGAGACUGGACGUCCUAGUAUCCAGGACGGAGGACUGUCACAAGAGACUGUCACUCAAACCAGUCAACUAACUUAAGGAAGAAGAAUGAUCCCUGGGGACAAACAGCUGUGGGAGUGACUGUGCCCCUGUUGAGACCCUUUCCUGAGUGAGAGGUGUUACGGGCUCUAAGAGGCUGUGGAAGGUUAAAAUCAGACCCCUCCCCACCAGUGUGGAGACCCUUCCGCUGGCUCCUCUUUGUCAUCUCGCCCUAAGUGGUCACUGAAUUUCUCCAUGUCUCAAAUGACCACUCUGUGAGUGAGGGUGGAGCAUCAGGGCGGGGAAACCAAAGUCUCGAGCACACGGCCUGCUGGGUGGCCAGAGGGCUUCAGAGAUUCCUGAGAGAAUCCCACAGUCAGCAGAGAGGGUGGAGACGGUCAGCAGAGGGGAACAAGUUAAGGUCAAUCUAGUACU